rnacentral:lncRNA from 1 species
AGACGUGCAUUGGUUGUGGCAAGCUAGUGGGUUGGAAUCACACCACUAAUCAUCAUCAUCAUCGGACCUUAUCUAAUCAAUUCGGGUCGGUUACAAGAAUCAUGUUCCAUUAUUCUACACUAUCAAGGGUCAUACCCCCAAUGAGAUCAUAUCCAAAUUCUCCACACUCAUAGAUUUGAAUCGCACCACCCAUGCUAAAUUGGCAAAACCUGGGUUGGAUCUAUAAGCUAAACUACGCAAAUCCCCUGUUAUG